GGGAGCUUGCUCCGCUGACGAGUGGCGAACGGGUGGGUAAUGCAUCGGAACGUACCCAGUCGUGGGGGAUAACGUAGCGAAAGUUACGCUAAUACCGCAUACGUCCUGAGGGAGAAAGCGGGGGACCGAAAGGCCUCGCGCGAUUGGAGCGGCCGAUGUCGGAUUAGCUAGUUGGUGGGGUAAAGGCCUACCAAGGCGACGAUCCGUAGCGGGUCUGAGAGGAUGAUCCGCCACACUGGGACUGAGACACGGCCCAGACUCCUACGGGAGGCAGCAGUGGGGAAUUUUGGACAAUGGGGGCAACCCUGAUCCAGCCAUGCCGCGUGAGUGAAGAAGGCCUUCGGGUUGUAAAGCUCUUUCAGACGGAAAGAAAACGCAUCGGUGAAUACCCGAUGUGGAUGACGGUACCGUAAGAAGAAGCACCGGCUAACUACGUGCCAGCAGCCGCGGUAAUACGUAGGGUGCGAGCGUUAAUCGGAAUUACUGGGCGUAAAGCGUGCGCAGGCGGUUAUGUAAGACAGAUGUGAAAUCCCCGGGCUCAACCUGGGAACUGCGUUUGUGACUGCAUAACUAGAGUACGGCAGAGGGAGGUGGAAUUCCGCGUGUAGCAGUGAAAUGCGUAGAUAUGCGGAGGAACACCGAUGGCGAAGCAGCUCCUGGGCCAGUACUGACGCUCAUGC
rnacentral:rRNA from 1 species